rnacentral:lncRNA from 1 species
AUAACUUCUUCAUUUUUAUUUAAUACAGCAGAAAGCACUACAAUUUCGACAACUACUCCUACCACUACCACCACAGGAAGCACUACGACAACUCCCCCUUCCACUCCCACCACAGGACGUCCAACUUGUAAUGCUCAGACCUGUCCAUAUGGAGCUACGUGCGUCCCUCUAUUCAAUGACACCGUCUGCCAGUGUCCGUAUGGAUUCUACUAUUCACCAAAAAGCUGUGAGCUAGGUGAGUUGCAUGACUUGAACCAGCAGAAAUGUAUCAUGCUUCUAUGUUGGGACCUUUUUGUUAUGGCAACUCUGACACU